rnacentral:sRNA from 1 species
GGCCUUUUGGGAGUUCACUGGCUUCGGGUUCCAUCGAAACUCCGAAGUUACGCGAGUUCGCAUGAGAGCAUUCCCAUGAUGGGUGACCCACCGGGAAGUUCUCGUGUGAGUUCCCAGAAACAAAACCGUGAGGGCGUGGUCGGGACCUAAAGCAGAUAAUAUCGUGUUACGGUAGAGUCGAGCCCGAUAUGUGGUGGGGGUCCGGGCCGGGAUGUGACAAUUUGGUAUCAAAGCCAAUCUCUGGCCGAAAGUGUGCCAACGAGGAUGUCGAGCCCCUAAGGGGGUAGAUUGUAACAUCCUACAUCUCCCAGGGGAGUGGAUCCUCUAAGCCUUAUAUGUAUAUUCUCAUCUCUUCCUAGCACGAGGCCUUUUGGGAGCUCACUGGCUUCGGGUUCCAUCGAAACUCCAAAGUUAAGCGAGUUCGCACGAGAGCAUUCCCAUAAUGGGUGACCCACUAGGAAGUUCUCGUGUGAGUUCC